rnacentral:sRNA from 1 species
UAAUGGACAGACAAUUGUAGUGGGUAAC